rnacentral:lncRNA from 1 species
GCCCGCCGGUCGCAGAGCUGUCAGCAAGCUCCAAACCGCGGCUGCCGCCCGGAGGGAAGCAGACGGGGAGUCGGUGGCGGCCGCCGAGUCCGCAUGCGCAGGCUGCAAAGGCCCUUUUGGGCCGGUCCCGCCGCGCUAGGUUGGCGAGUGGGACUAUUUGAUCCUUUCCAGGUUCGCCAGCGUGGUGUUACGAGAGGAAAGCGCAGCCGCAGCGUACGAAUGGGAAGGCCAAACACGGUCCCGGGGAGUCUGAGGGAAGCUGCAGGGCGCCUGGAAUUGGGGUCUCGAGUGAGCCGGUAAAAACCGCCUCCCGCUGAGCGUCCCGGAACAAAUACUGUCUGAACUGAGCCGUAAGCAAGAAACGGUCAGGAGAAGCUGGGGCGAUCUGAUGAUUAGAACAUUUCAGGGACUACCAGAGAGAAGUGCGUAAUUGCUCUAAGGCAGGUAGGUAAUUGGCCUGGAAACUUGGGAACGCCCCGCCCCCCACCCCGACUUUCAGCAAACCACCGUGCCCAGGAAAAAGAGCGAUUGUGGAAGACCCUGUGAAGAAGAGACCAGGAAGGCACUGUGGCUUAAGAGAGCAAGGCGUUCCUGAAUGCAGCCAACAUCAACUGGUAAACAAAAAACUGUGAGAACGGAUCCUGAAUCUUGCGCUUACCAGGGGAAAUUCAGGAGAGAUAUGAACCUGAGCAAGAUGAGGUUGAAGUUACUCAAUGCGGCAUUAAGCCUGUUCACGGCCACUUCCUCCGGCGUCACCAACACACACACUGUACACCAGCAGUAUUUUUACACGGGGUAUGUGUGUUAAGUACUAUCAGGUGGAUAAUUAUUACUUCACCUGUAUUUGCUGCCUUGAUACCAUUAGAGAAACUCAUGAAUUAUAAAUAGCAUAGUGAAUUUGUGAUUCCCUGAAGAUAUACUAAGGUGGACUUUUAAAAAGGCUUCUAUUCCAAAGGGAACUAAUAUGGAGGAAAUGGUUUCGAGAAAGAAAAAAGAAAAAACGGAGUCCUUGAUUAGUUGUGGGGAAGGCAACAUAAUGUAAUGUGAAGAAUAAAGGAGUCAGAUCCAGGAAACCCCAUAACUAUUAUGUAAGUUAUCUUCAUCUGUAAAGUGGUUAGGAUCCUGAUAGUCUCAAAGGUUUGUUUUGAGGUUUCAUGAAGCAGAUAAAUAUUCUUGUAAAUUGUAGAAUGUUAUACCAGUGUUACUCAUUAUUCUAACAAGAGCAGAGUAGUGAAGAGAGGCUCCUUCAGAAAUUCCUUGGGAUUUUUUUUUUUUUGGCUUCUGUUUUUUUAUAUCACAAGGUAGUGUCUCUGAAAAAUGGUAGAUGAUUUCAAUGUCCACAAAUAUGCAGGUGUAGACAUUCAAUUGAGGUACUGUACCCAAGGCAGCCAGCAAAAUGCUGAACAUAGAAAAUAACUUUGUAAACAAAAUGCAAUAUUUCUAGACAGUGAGUUAUCACCAGUGUGCUGCCUAUGACCCUGGCCUUAAGGAAAAAGUAGCAGAGCUGAAGAAGUUCUAAGGAUGGAAAUUAAAAAUUAUUAAGGAGAUAAUAGACUUCGUGUUAUAGGAAAUAAAAAUAGCAAGGGUCUUCAAUGGUGAGUGAUUUUGAGAUUAAUUACAUAACUAUGAAUUCUGUAAUAUUAGAACUAAGCUUUACAAAGCAUUCCUUAAAAAAAGAUAAUUUUACAACAAAGGUAACAUUAGACAGAAAAAAAUGUACAAAACUAAAAUUAAGUGAUUAAUGCUUGGGAAUGUUUCCUCCAAUGUUCAUCUAGUCAUGGUUUUCACGAAUCACUCUUGCCAAUAAAACCGAAAAUCAAAGUAAUCUAGUGAGUGUAAGAAAAGUUACUGUAAAUAUGUUUGCAUUCGUCAGACUCUAUGGAGUCUUUUUGAAGUUAAACAUUAAAUCUCCACUGUAAUUCAUACUGUUAAUUAUAGUAGCAAAAGACUUAAAAAACAAUGGUAGCAUAUUUAUGAUAUAUCCAAAAUUAAGAGUAUUAUGCAAUUUUUAUUAGGUUGAUCUAUGUUUAUUGACUAGGAAAAACAAUGUUGGUAGAGAGGAGUGAACAGAUCUAGAACAUAUUUUGUAGGUAAAGGGAAUAAGAUUUGUUUAGGAAUUAACUAUGAGGAGAAAUAAAUGUUCAGAAACAAGUAGAGCACUUAUAAACACCUUUUUGUGCCAAAUUAAGAACAAAAAAGUCAGCAUUAAGUUAAUGCCACCAUAUACAUCCUUCCACAUUUAUGUUUACAAACUUGUGCUUUUAUUUCUAGGAAACAUUUCUAGGCUGGGCGCAGUGGCUCACACCUGUAAUGCUAGCGCUUUGGGAAGCCAAGAUGGGAGGAUUAUUUGAGGCCGGGAGUUUGCGACCAGCCUGAGCAACAUAGCAGGAUCCUGUCUCUGCAAAAAAAUUUAAAACUAGCCAGGUGCGGUGGCUCGUGCCUGUUGCCCUAGCUACUCAGGGAGACUGAGGCAGAGGAUUGCUUCAACCCAGGAGUUUGAGGUUGCAGUGAGCUAAGAUCAUGUCACUGCACUCCAGACUGAGCAACAGAGUGACACUUUAUAAAAAAAAAAAAAAAAAAAACUAGGUUUUUGAACUUGCUUAAUCAAAGAAUUUGUUUAAACUUUUAAGAUGCGUUGUCAGAUUAUCUUUCCCUAAAGGAAUAAUUUCUAUUCCUAUCAGCUGUUUAUAUUCCUGCCUAGUCACCAUCACUAGAUAUAAUUGAUUUUCAGUUUUUGCCAAUCUGAGGAACAAAAAAUGACCCUUAUAUGUCAAAUUUACAGUUUAUUUUCAAGGAUUUUGGGAUUCUGAUCAAAUUUUGGUACCUUCAUAUAAAAUUUGGCUUUUAUAUCA